rnacentral:ncRNA from 1 species
AUAAAAUCAGUGAGCAGAAGGAGUAACUAGAGAAGUUUAGUUUCAGCGAGUCUGGGGUAGUGUAAGCCAGGUACUGUAGUCUGUAGUGAAUGGGUCUGUAAGAUGAGGUGUGAAAUCAUAGUAGCACUUUCCGGAGUGUCCACCGUUAUAGGGACAGGGUAUCGAGUUUUCGAUGUAGCAAAUUGACUCCGUACCUGGAAGAGUAAGUAUAUUUAGGUGGCAUAGCGAAUAACAUUUCGUCCUAUUAAGGAGGAAGUGUUUUUUUUAUGUGACAAAGAGUUUUACCUAAAUGUAUGAAAAAUAUGGGUGGCAACAUGAAGUCACUUCGUCCCAUGA